CGAAAGCUAGGUGUCACAUUCCAUUCCCUUCCCUCCAAAUCCAGCAAUGUGGAUAACGAUGAUCAAAAUAAUAUAUGUGAGGCGAGCAGUAAAGAUAAUCAAAUAUAAGACAUAAAAGAAAUUCCUCUCCCUCUCUCUCUAAUGCAAACCCUAAAAACAACUCCACCACCACCAAAAUGGCAGCCACAGCCAUUGGAUCUUCUAGAAGUACCUAAAGCGGACCAUCUCUCCGCUUAGUCUCCCCUUCUAGCAGAUUUCAUCAACACCUCUCUAGAUCUUCGACAUCUUACGCUCCCCCACCGCCUUUGCUUCCUCAAGUUCUAGUUUCAUUUCUCGCUCAUCAACUUUCUUCACACCAAGUUUGACGGGAAAAUUGAACAGGAAAAGAAGAAUGAUGUGAUUCAAAAGAAGCAAAUUCGAAAGAGAAGCCCCGUGACAAGAAUUCUCAAUUGCUAAAUUAUCGGAAUCAUUCAGCCUACAGUGGAUGUAGUGGAAUGGCUAAAGAGAAGUUUUGUUGGUGUGAUUUUAGAAAAUGAAAAGAGAUUCACCACUGGGUUCCAUCAGAUGCUCCUGCGUAUCCAUUUUGUUGGGUGGUUUGGCAGUCCACCGUACUUUCCCCGAGAGAGGGAUUAAAGAAUGAUAAACAUUGAAUGAUAACAUGUUUAUUCAUUCACAAUCUUCAUUCUGAUAGCCAUGUUGUUUCUUGCAAGGACCUGAUGGUUUGGACAACCAUGGGAAGGAGAUGAACUGUGAUCAUUUUUCUUUAUUCGAUUACUGGCUACAUUCAAAAAGACUGCACAAAUUGAAAAUGAUAUUAGCCCGGAAUAUUAAUUUGAAUACAUGGAUUAUUUAUGUUCA